CCUACGGGAGGCAGCAGUAGGGAAUAUUGCUCAAUGGGGGAAACCCUGAAGCAGCAACGCCGCGUGGAGGAUGAAGGUUUUCGGAUUGUAAACUCCUUUUGUUAGAGAAGAUGAUGACGGUAUCUAACGAAUAAGCACCGGCUAACUCCGUGCCAGCAGCCGCGGUAAUACGGAGUGUGCAAGCGUUACUCGGAAUCACUGGGCGGAAAGAGCGCGGAGGCGGGAUAGCAAGUCAGAUGUGAAAUCCUAUGGCUUAACCAUAGAACUGCAUUUGAAACUGUUAUUCUAGAGUAUGGGAGAGGUAGGUGGAAUUCUUGGUGUAGGGGUAAAAUCCGUAGAGAUCAAGAGGAAUACUCGUUGCGAAGGCGACCUGCUAGAACAUAACUGACGCUGAUGCGCGAAAGCGUGGGGAGCAAACAGGAUUAGAUACCCUUGUAGUC
rnacentral:rRNA from 1 species